UAGUAGGGAAAGUGGGAAGGUUGCCCAAUGACAGGACCAGGCUCAGAUUGGCUAAGGAGACUUUGAUGGGUCUGUCUUUGCAAAUGCCAGCACAGAUGUUUGGGGAGGGAUUAUGGGUGGAGACUCAGAGCAAUGGAUUCUAAUCCCUUUCUCCAAGGGGCUGGUGAUUGCAUCCGGAAGUGCCCAUGACAGAGCUGGUGUCCUCCAGGGGAGGGUCCCCUAUAGGGGACAGGGAGGAGGGUCUGGGAGACGAUCAAGGCCUGGUUAUCCACCACCCAGCGGAGGAACAGUCCCACCGCUGCCCACUGUGCGGGCAGACCUUCUCCCAGCAGCCUAGCCUGGUGCGGCACCAGAAAGCGCACGUGGGGGCUGGCCGGGCAGCCGCCUUCGUGUGUCCCGAGUGCGGCAAGGCCUUCAGCGUCAAACACAACCUGGAAGUGCACCAGCGCACACACACCGGCGAGCGGCCCUUCCCCUGCCCCGACUGCGGCCGC
rnacentral:lncRNA from 1 species